rnacentral:lncRNA from 1 species
GCAUACUUCAUUGGCCGAGCAAAGUUCAGAGAUGAGCUCACCAAGGGCCUUGACUACAGUCGGCUAUGAGAUCGGAUACCAGACUCUAGCACCAUAGAUCUGAAUGACUGGAUAGUAGCUCCCUUUACUGUCCAACAAUUCAAGUUAUGGUGGGCCGAAUGGAAACAGUACCUGUUCUGCGCCUCCGCAUCAACGUACUGCAACCUCUUGGAUCCAGCCAACAUCGAUCCGAAC